UGAACGCUGGCGGCGUGCCUAACCCAUGUAAGUCGAGCGAUCUGUUCGCAAGGAUAGAGAGCGGCGGAAGGGUGAGUAACACGUAGGAGACCUACCUUGGCGCAGGGAACAACUUCGCGAAAGCGGAGCUAAUACCCAAGAGGCUCGAUGAUUCAGUUUGUCGAGGAGAGUGGCCCCGCAAGGGGUUGCGCGCGAAGAGGGUCCUGCGGCCCAUCAGCUAGUUGGUAGGGUAGUGGCCUACCAAGGCAACGACGGGUAGGGGGUCUGAGAGGACGAUCCCCCACACUGGAACUGAAACACGGUCCAGACGCCUACGGGUGGCAGCAGGGAGGAAUAUUGGGCAAUGGGCGCAAGCCUGACCCAGCAACGCCGCGUGGAGGACGAAGGCCUUCGGGUCGUAAACUCCUUUUGAGGGAGACGAGCAAGGACGGUAUCCCUCGAAUCAGCCACGGCUAACUACGUGCCAGCAGCCGCGGUAAAACGUAGGUGGCGAGCGUUAUCCGGAUUCAUUGGGCGUAAAGAGCUUGUAGGCGGCUUGGUAAGUUGGACGUGAAAACCCCGGGCUUAACUUGGGGAGGCCGUUCAAUACUGCCGGGCUGGAGGGUGUCAGAGGGCAGUGGAAUUCCUGGUGUAGCAGUGAAAUGCGUAGAUAUCAGGAGGAACAUCCGUGGCGAAGGCGGCUGCCUGGGGCGCACCUGACGCUGAGAAGCGAAAGCUAGGGGAGCAAACGGGAUUAGAAACCCCGGUAGUCCUAGCUGUAAACGAUGGAUGCUGGGUGUGCGCGGAUCUAACCCCGCGCGUGCCGAAGCCAACGCGUUAAGCAUCCCGCCUGGGGACUACGAGCGCAAGCUUAA
rnacentral:rRNA from 1 species